UGGGGAAUAUUGGACAAUGGGCGAAAGCCUGAUCCAGCCAUGCCGCGUGUGUGAAGAAGGUCUUCGGAUUGUAAAGCACUUUAAGUUGGGAGGAAGGGCAUUAACCUAAUACGUUAGUGUUUUGACGUUACCGACAGAAUAAGCACCGGCUAACUCUGUGCCAGCAGCCGCGGUAAUACAGAGGGUGCAAGCGUUAAUCGGAAUUACUGGGCGUAAAGCGCGCGUAGGUGGUUUGUUAAGUUGGAUGUGAAAUCCCCGGGCUCAAACUGGGAACUGCAUUCAAAACUGACUGACUAGAGUAUGGUAGAGGGUGGUGGAAUUUCCUGUGUAGCGGUGAAAUGCGUAGAUAUAGGAAGGAACACCAGUGGCGAAGGCGACCACCUGGACUAAUACUGACACUGAGGUGCGAAAGCGUGGGGAGCAAACA
rnacentral:rRNA from 1 species